AUUGAACGCUGGCGGCAGGCCUAACACAUGCAAGUCGAACGAGUGGCGGACGGGUGAGUAAUGUCUGGGAAACUGCCUGAUGGAGGGGGAUAACUACUGGAAACGGUAGCUAAUACCGCAUACCCUCGGAUGUGCCCAGCUGGGAUUAGCUAGUAGGUGGGGUAACGGCUCACCUAGGCGACGAUCCCUAGCUGGUCUGAGAGGAUGACCAGCCACACGGGAACUGAGACACGGUCCAGACUCCUACGGGAGGCAGCAGGGGGGAAUAUUGAACAAUGGGCGCAAGCCUGAUGCAGCCAUGCCGCGUGUAGGAAGAAGGCCUUCGGGUUGUAAAGUACUUUCAGCGGGGAGGCGUUACCCGCAGAAGAAGCACCGGCUAACUCCGGGCCAGCCGCCGCGGUAAUAC
rnacentral:rRNA from 1 species